ensembl:lncRNA
CGCUGUAUCCACAUGCUGGUGAGGCCCAGUUAAGAACUGAAUACAGAAGGCUAAUUCCAAGCAAUGCCAGAGAAAGUAGGGUGGGCUUUGCAGGUCCCUUCAAAUUCAAAGUUUAUGAUUUUAUAAAAUAAGAACUAUGAAAAAAAUCACAAGGGAAAAUCAGAGAAGAAUUUAUUCAAGGUGGCUCAGUGAUAAAGAAUCUGCCAGUUAAUGGCAGGAGAUGCAGAUGCUGGUUUGAUCUCAGAGUCAGGAAGAUCUCCCUGAGAAGGAAGUGGCAACCCAACUCCAGUAUUCUUGCCUGGGAAGUUCCAUGGACAGAGGAGCCUGUGUGGUUACAUUUUAAAGUUAUAAGCCAGAGCUACCACUGAAUGGUAAUCAUGAUCUCAAGCUGCUGUUUUUUGGAAUUGUAAUCUCUUUAAGCAAUGAUCCAAUGUUACAUGAAGAAAAGCUGCUGGAGUGAGGGUUGGGAACAGAUGCUGCUGCAGAUCUGAACACAAGCCAAGGACUGUUUACACUCCUUCCCUGUCCCCUCCCAUCUCAUCAGGAGCAAGACCCUUCUUUUCCAGUUGUUGUUUUAGCCUAAAAGUAUGUGCUGUGGAGUUGCACUUAGCCUAGGACAUGGCCUGUAGUAUGGAUAGAAGGAUGAGCUCCAUAAAAAUGAUAAGAUCUCCUGAAAUUAUACACUGGUGGAGAAGAUGGAAGUGUUUUUCAUGAAGACAGGAAAUAUCUUCACUACUACUUGAUGAGCGAGAUGGAAUUAUCCUAAAAGAGCAGGUCCAUGGGGUGAGGAGAAAAGAUAUGUGGGCUGGAUUGUUAAUGAAAUGAUUAAACAAUAAUGCUCUCUGUGGCCACACCCUACUAUUUUACACAAUGGGGGAAAAAACAACUUGGCAAAAUAAAAUCAAUGUUGGCUUCUUUGAAAUGUGCAACCAUUUCACUGUUACCCGUGUGCAAGUCCCAGUGCCAAGAAACCCAAAGAUACUACAGGUAGUCCGCGUUUUGUAGGGUUCCAAUAUAUGUGAAUUUCAGUCACCGCAAUUGAGUUUAGUUAAAUAAAACCAGUCCCCUCUAGCAACAUGGUUCAGAUUUCAGUCACCCUGGUAUCUGAACUGUGGGUAGCUGCAUGAAGUACAAACUGUGCUGCUAGCUCAUCAGUGCACAUAUUUAGGGAGCUCAUCACCUCCUCAAUAUGCACCUCACCAUCAC